UACGAAGGGGGCUAGCGUUGCUCGGAAUCACUGGGCGUAAAGGGUGCGUAGGCGGGUCUUUAAGUCAGAGGUGAAAUCCUGGAGCUCAACUCCAGAACUGCCUUUGAUACUGAAGAUCUUGAGUUCGGGAGAGGUGAGUGGAACUGCGAGUGUAGAGGUGAAAUUCGUAGAUAUUCGCAAGAACACCAGUGGCGAAGGCGGGCACCUGGGCCGACACUGACGCUGAGGCGCGAAAGCUAGGGGAGCAAACAGG
rnacentral:rRNA from 1 species